UAGACUUAGGAGCUGGCAUCAGGCACAGAUUUCUAGCCCACAACGCCUAGUUUCACCACACCCUCAAGGGUCUUCAGCAGUGAUAGAUAUUGAUCAUAAGCGUUAGCUUGAUUCAGUUAAAGAAAAUUAGAGCCGGCCAAUCCGGUGCCAGCCGCCGCGGCUACACCAGCAGGCUCAAGUUGAUAAGCACCGGCGUUAAGCGUGAUUAAAGAAAAACUUGAUUAGAGAUAAAUUUAAAUUAUAGUAGUGAUAAGCUUAUUAUUUAGAAAAACGAAAUGAAAAUUACUCUAACAUACUUGAAUACACGACAGCUAGAAAACAAACUGGGAUUAGAUACCCCACUAUGUCUUGCCGUAAACUUUAUACUUACAACAACCACGCCAGGGUCUUACGAGCUUAAGCUUAAAACCCAAAGGACUUGACGGUGUCCCACCCACCUAGAGGAGCCUGUUCUAUAAUCGACACUCCCCGCUUCACCUCACCAUUUUUAGCCUCUCAGCCUGUAUACCUCCGUCGCAAGCUUACCUUAUGAACGUAUGAGUAAGCCUAAAGGUUCACCCACCAACACGUCAGGUCAAGGUGCAGCUUAUAAAAUGGAAAGCAAUGGGCUACAAUUUCUAACAUAGAAUAAACGAAAAAA
rnacentral:rRNA from 1 species